rnacentral:rRNA from 1 species
GAUGAACGCUGGCGGCGUGCCUAACACAUGCAAGUCGAGCGACGCGUGGACGGGUGAGUAACACGUGUCUAACCUUCUAUAAGACUGGGGUAACUUCGGGAAACCGGAGCUAAACCCGACACUUAUCGAUGGAUUCGCGCGGCAUUAGCUAGUUGGUAAGGUAACGGCUUACCAAGGCAACGAUGCAUGGCCGACCUGAGAGGGUGAUCGGCCAAACUGGAACUGAGACACGGGCCAGACUCCUACGGGAGGCAGCAGUAGGGAAGAUUCCGCAAUGGGCGAAAGCCUGACGGAGCAACGCCGCGUGAGUGAUGAAGGUCUUCGGAUCGUAAAACUAUGUUAUUGGGGAAGCGGUACCUAAACAGAAAGCCACGGCUAACUACGUGCCAGCAGCCGCGGUAAUAC